AGCGAACGCUGGCGGCAGGCCUAACACAUGCAAGUCGAACGAACUCUUCGGAGUUAGUGGCGGACGGGUGAGUAACACGUGGGAACGUGCCUUUUGGUUCGGAAUAACUCAGGGAAACUUGUGCUAAUACCGAAUGUGCCCUUCGGGGGAAAGAUUUAUCGCCAUUAGAGCGGCCCGCGUCUGAUUAGCUAGUUGGUGAGGUAACGGCUCACCAAGGCGACGAUCAGUAGCUGGUCUGAGAGGAUGACCAGCCACACUGGGACUGAGACACGGCCCAGACUCCUACGGGAGGCAGCCGUGGGGAAUCUUGCGCAAUGGGCGAAAGCCUGACGCAGCCAUGCCGCGUGAAUGAUGAAGGUCUUAGGAUUGUAAAAUUCUUUAACCGGGGACGAUAAUGACGGUACCCGGAGAAGAAGCCCCGGCUAACUUCGUG
rnacentral:rRNA from 1 species